rnacentral:rRNA from 1 species
AACGCUGGCGGCGUGCCUAAUACAUGCAAGUCGAACGGUCUUUCUAUGGAAGCUUGCUUCCACUGAGAAGAUAGUGGCGAACGGGUGAGUAACACGUGGGUAACCUGCCCAUAAGAGGGGGGAUAACAUCCGGAAACGGGUGCUAAUACCGCAUAGUUUUCUUGAUCGCAUGAUCGGGAAAGGAAAGACGGCCUUUGUGCUGUCGCUUAUGGAUGGACCCGCGGCGUAUUAGUUAGUUGGUGAGGUAACGGCCCACCAAGACGAUGAUACGUAGCCGACCUGAGAGGGUGAUCGGCCACAUUGGGACUGAGACACGGCCCAAACUCCUACGGGAGGCAGCAGUAGGGAAUCUUCCGCAAUGGACGAAAGUCUGACGGAGCAACGCCGCGUGAGUGAAAGAAGGUUUUCGGAUCGUAAAACUCUGUUGUCAGAGAAGAACAAGUUGGAGAGUAACUGCUCCAGCCUUGACGGUAUCUGACCAGAAAGCCACGGCUAACUACGUGCCAGCCGCCGC